GCUUUCCUGGGGCUCAGCUGGUAAAACAUUGUGCUACAAAUGCAAAGGUUGUGGGUUCAAAUCCCAAUGAAAGUA